GCUGCGUGAAUUAAUGUGAAUUGCAGCACACAUUGAACAUCGAUAUCUUGAACGCACAKUGCGGCCUCGGGCAAUCCCGAGGCCACGCCUGUCUCAGGGUCG
rnacentral:rRNA from 1 species